GACGAACGCUGGCGGCGUGCUUAACACAUGCAAGUCGAACGGUAAGGCCCCUCGGGGUACACGAGUGGCGAACGGGUGAGAAACACGUGGGUGAUCUGCCCUGCACUUCGGGAUAAGCCUGGGAAACUGGGUCUAAUACCGGAUAGGACCACUGCCUGCAUGGGUGGUGGUGGAAAGCUUUUGCGGUGUGGGAUGGGCCCGCGGCCUAUCAGCUUGUUGGUGGGGUGAUGGCCUACCAAGGCGACGACGGGUAGCCGGCCUGAGAGGGUGACCGGCCACACUGGGACUGAGAUACGGCCCAGACGCCUACGGGAGGCAGCAGUGGGGAAUAUUGCACAAUGGGCGCAAGCCUGAUGCAGCGACGCCGCGUGAGGGAUGACGGCCUUCGGGUUGUAAGCCUCUUUCAGCACCGACGAAGCGCAAGUGACGGUAGGUGCAGAAGAAGGACCGGCCAACUACGUGCCAGCAGCCGCCGCCG
rnacentral:rRNA from 1 species